rnacentral:rRNA from 1 species
GAACGCUGGCGGCGUGCCUAAUACAUGCAAGUCGAACGCACAGCGAAAGGUGCUUGCACCUUUCAAGUGAGUGGCGAACGGGUGAGUAACACGUGGACAACCUGCCUCAAGGCUGGGGAUAACAUUUGGAAACAGAUGCUAAUACCGAAUAAAACUUAGUGUCGCAUGACACAAAGUUAAAAGGCGCUUCGGCGUCACCUAGAGAUGGAUCCGCGGUGCAUUAGUUAGUUGGUGGGGUAAAGGCCUACCAAGACAAUGAUGCAUAGCCGAGUUGAGAGACUGAUCGGCCACAUUGGGACUGAGACACGGCCCAAACUCCUACGGGAGGCUGCAGUAGGGAAUCUUCCACAAUGGGCGAAAGCCUGAUGGAGCAACGCCGCGUGUGUGAUGAAGGCUUUCGGGUCGUAAAGCACUGUUGUAUGGGAAGAACAGCUAGAAUAGGAAAUGAUUUUAGUUUGACGGUACCAUACCAGAAAGGGACGGCUAAAUACGUGCCAGCAGCCGCGGUAAUACGUAUGUCCCGAGCGUUAUCCGGAUUUAUUGGGCGUAAAGCGAGCGCAGACGGUUUAUUAAGUCUGAUGUGAAAGCCCGGAGCUCAACUUCGGAAUGGCAUUGGAAACUGGUUAACUUGAGUGCAGUAGAGGUAAGUGGAACUCCAUGUGUAGCGGUGGAAUGCGUAGAUAUAUGGAAGAACACCAGUGGCGAAGGCGGCUUACUGGACUGCAACUGACGUUGAGGCUCGAAAGUGUGGGUAGCAAACAGGAUUAGAUACCCUGGUAGUCCACACCGUAAACGAUGAACACUAGGUGUUAGGAGGUUUCCGCCUCUUAGUGCCGAAGCUAACGCAUUAAGUGUUCCGCCUGGGGAGUACGACCGCAAGGUUGAAACUCAAAGGAAUUGACGGGGACCCGCACAAGCGGUGGAGCAUGUGGUUUAAUUCGAAGCAACGCGAAGAACCUUACCAGGUCUUGACAUCCUUUGAAGCUUUUAGAGAUAGAAGUGUUCUCUUCGGAGACAAAGUGACAGGUGGUGCAUGGUCGUCGUCAGCUCGUGUCGUGAGAUGUUGGGUUAAGUCCCGCAACGAGCGCAACCCUUAUUGUUAGUUGCCAGCAUUCAGAUGGGCACUCUAGCGAGACUGCCGGUGACAAACCGGAGGAAGGCGGGGACGACGUCAGAUCAUCAUGCCCCUUAUGACCUGGGCUACACACGUGCUACAAUGGCGUAUACAACGAGUUGCCAACCCGCGAGGGUGAGCUAAUCUCUUAAAGUACGUCUCAGUUCGGAUUGUAGUCUGCAACUCGACUACAUGAAGUCGGAAUCGCUAGUAAUCGCGGAUCAGCACGCCGCGGUGAAUACGUUCCCGGGUCUUGUACACACCGCCCGUCACACCAUGGGAGUUUGUAAUGCCCAAAGCCGGUGGCCUAACCUUUCAGGAAGGAGCCGUCUAAGGCAGGACAGAUGACUGGGGUGAA